rnacentral:lncRNA from 1 species
AGCACCCAGCUAGAAGUUUGGUGGCUCAGAAGUUCUGUCUCGUAGAGCUUAUAUUCAUUCCGUCCCACAUAAACUUUACCCCUGCCAUAGCCAGACGCUGCUGUGGAUACCAGGACUAGAAAGAGUCCAAGGACAAAAUUAAAACAACUUAGAGUCAGGAUCUUAAUUGGCUUUAUUUUCAACUCUGGAAUUAGGCGACCCUUCAUGCUAUAAAAUAGAAGCGUUCCAGCGAGCUGAGCAGCAAAGAUUUGUUUUAGAGAUAGAAAAAGGGCUGAAGAAAGCAGAAACAAAAUUGUUUCAAAGUUACUUUCCUUGUAAGGCUUGGAUAGAGGCAGAACAAUAGAAAAAUAUAGUAACUGAUUAACAUCAGGUUACUUUUUUGAAUCAUCCGCAUUGAAACUGGCCUGUUUGAGAAAUUUGGUUGUUCCUCUCUAAUCCUGAUUGUUCAUAAAGUCAGAUAAACGGCUUAGUUUAAGCUUGGUGGAGUGGAACUUUACCAUGAGUGACUUCGUUUUUAUUUUUAGCCUGAUCUGUUGGAAUGUAAGUGCAGGAGCCUAGUAUAAAACAUCGGCCUCUUAUAUUUUUUAUUUAAUAAGAGGUACCCCUUGCCCUGGGGAAGCAGACAAUCGAACAAAUGAGUAAGUUAAUUGUAGAAAAAAAUGAUGUGGCUGAAACAAUCAGGGGCUUAGAUAAUGGACAGGAGAGAUGGAAACGUCACCUGUAGAUAAAGUCAUGGAAAGCAUGAUCGAAGCCAAAGAACAGCGAUUACAAAAGCUCGGAGAGGGAAAAGAAUAUGGGUCUCACUAUGUAGUUCAGACUGGCCUUCAACUUGGGAUGAUCCUCCUGCCUCCUGAGUGCUGGGAUUGCAGGAUCUCACUAUGUCACUAACUUGCCCAGACUGGGCUCAAACGCAGAGAAGUCUGAUAAUGUGAGAAAUCACGCCAUGAGGAGUCCUGGAUAGCCAGGGAAAAGACCAUGUGAAGAGAGUCUGUGGCCCAGCCUCCCCGCCGAGGACUUGUGUGCAGAAGCCAGCUUGGGUGGCUGUGCUCAGUCAGGACUUCCACAGACUGCACCCCCAGCGCCUCUGAUUGCAACUGCGUGAGCGCCGGUACAUGGGAACCAUUCAGCAAAGCCCCACUCAUCUUCACAGCUCUGAGAAAUAAUCAUAAACUGUGUUAAGUCGUUAAAUUCUGAAGUUAUUUGUUGCUGUGGUUGGGAUACAUGUUCCCCAGAGGUCAUGGGUUACAGGUCUAUCCCCAGCUUGGAACUACUGGGAGGCAGUGGAAACUGUAAGACCCAGGGCCUGGUGGGAGGUCAUUAGUCUUGUGGCUGUGGCCUUCAAGGGAAUUCAACGACAGUCCCUUCUUCUUCCUCCCUUUCACUUCCUGUCCAGUGCCACACACUCCCCACCACUGCCAUCUGCCAGCAGAGGCCUAAAAGUAACAGAUCCGCCUGAUUAUGGACUGGGACCAGAAUAAACAGC